rnacentral:lncRNA from 1 species
ACAGAGAGAGAGAGAGACAAUCAACCUUUCAUGCAGCGAGCACAGCAAGCUUCAGAAAUGAUUCCCAGAAACUCUAAUGGAGCAUGAUUGACUAGAGCGAAGGUGCUAUUACAAUUAUCCACCUGUGUCACUGAAUGGCGAGAAGGUCCCCCUUCACCACAAGCAGUGCUGCCAUCCAUCCACAUUUCUGGCAUGCGCACUGAGAGCAAAAAUUCACUUGACCUGGGGGGCCUGCAGGUGCUUCCCCAGAAGAUGAGUUCCUGGAGCUGUGAAGACAUGGAGCCCAGCAGGUCCCUGCACUGUGACAUCUCUCUCUACAAAGAGACACAGCAUCCCCACUGCGCUUGGAGUUUAGAGUGUGCAUGCCAGCGGGCCAUGGUACACCAUGGUGUGCACUAUUUGACUCUUCCAAUGCAAAGGAAAAGGUGAAGAUAUCCGGGAAGAGCUGCUGUGCGUUGGAGCUGUUUUGUGGGGAGAGGAUGAGUCACCUCUUACCCCAUGGACACUGAAAGCCCACACCCAGGCGCAAGAGACUGGCUGCCAGCCUGUGUUUUAAAUGUUCUCACUUGCUGAGGCACCUGAGAGAAUAAAGCAAUUGCUAAACUGCGGGUGUUCCACAGACACAGAGGCCACCAGGAUGGGCACCGCAGCAGGGAGCCUCCAGCUCCCAGCAGGGAACUUUCUGCAUAGAAACCUCAGGUCACUCAAGUUUGCACUGCAAGCCAAGACCACAGUGAGUACUCUCAGCUCCUCUUCCUACAGAGGGAACCAGAAGCAGAUGAGCUUGCCCAUCUUAAAGAUGAUCAAGUCCUUGGACCACAAAGUCACCAGACACGCUUAGUACUGGCAGCGGGUCCAGGUACAACCACCAUUCAGGUCUCCUCUUUUAUUGAUUAUGAGAUGCAAAUUAAUGUCCUUCAGGUGUGUCUGGCCAAGGCCUAGGGCUCACGGUGACUCCCACUCCUCAGAGUAAUGGAAUUACAAGUGGGGCUGUAACACCUAAUGUGGAUAUAUUACAUAUUGUGUAUGAAUGUCUUACUUGAAUGUAUGUAUGCAUAUCUGGUGCCAGCAGAAGGGCCUCAGAUCCCCUGGAACUGGAGUCACAGAUGGUUGUGAGCUACCACGUGGGUGCUGAGAAUCAAAAUCCUACCCUCUGGAAGAGCACCCAGUGAUCUUAACUGCUGAGCCACCUCUCCAGCCCCAUGACUAUCUUUUAUGCAAUUUAUCAAGAGUUACCAACUCAAACCUGGUGACUGGCAGUUUCCAAAGCCACAGAAGCUAUGGUUUAUGUAAGGGGUCCAGGUGUGACAAGGCCCAACUUCUAGUCCCGGAUUCAAGUUUGUCGACGGUAUGGCUUUGGCCCUAUAACUUAUUAGGAGCCUAUUUCCUCACUAUAAAAAGAGGCAGAAACAUUCCCUGUCUUGCCAGUGACAUAGUAAUUGCUGUAUUUACUCCUGAACAGGAAAGACCUUCAAUAAACUACAGUGCCUGCC